UGUCUCUCUCCUUGCUUCUCUUCCCUUAUUCUGAUUCGGUUGCCAAAGCAAUUUCUCUUCUCUCGAAUUCUCUAAUAUUUUCUCUUCUGGGUGAUCAUUAUUUUCCACCUGUCGAUUUCAGAUGAUCAUAUAGACAGAGACAGAGACAGAGACAGAGAGAGAGAGGAGCAAUAUCUCUACGCCCUAAAUUGAAAACCAAGUCGCGAAAGAAGUUGUUGUAGUCUAUAGUGGGCGCCGACGACGCGCGGCAGAGGAGGAGGUGAACUUGAUCGAGGUCAGGAAGAACAAUUGCGAGGACAACUCGCUCAAGCAGAGGAGAGAAGGCUUGCCUCAGUCACAUCAGAUCGACGGCUUGCCCAAUCCCGGCGUCACCGAGAAAACGGCAAUUUCAUAGUGGCAGACUGAUACAAUAAGCUUUGCCUUGUUUUCCGUUAUUCUGCUCGUGGUGUUGGUUUACUAAGAGGAUGAGUCAGGAGAAAAAAUGAGGAGAAGAAGUUUGUGUUUUCCAGCCAUGCUUCUUUGGUUUCCAGCGAGCUUCGACUCCAAUUCAGGGAACCAAAGUUAGACCUUUUUAGUGUACAACUCAGUUAUUUAUGCCUCGCUACAUACAUAAUGGUGUCGCUAGAUCGAGUUGUUAUUGAACAUGGUGCAGUUCCCCUAUAUGUGCACCUUCUAAGCUCCAGCAGUGAUGAUGUCAGAGAGCAGGUUCCGACUACCUCUUACUACUUUUUUCUACUUGAUAGAGCAAUAAUAAGCGAAUAUGGCUAGGAUAUGCCUCUCUAUGUCCUUAUUAUCACCAGUUGUCCCAAUAGCACCUCUUAUAGAGCUGGGUUGAUCAAUUGUUCAUGAGAGAAUGUAAUAGAGGUUAUGAGAUAUGUUUUUGUUUUCAGACGAGGUUUUGGGUUAUGUUGAUGCAUUGUUGAAUAUUUGAGUUCAAUAUAUUUUUUGAUUCAAUAA